CAAUAGCGUAUAUUAACGUUGUUGCAGUUAAAAAGCUCGUAGUUGGAUUUCUGGAGGGAGCGUCGGCCCGUAUUUACGAGUGCGUGACGUCUCUGUCCAUCCUUGCGGGAAGGCACGGCAUUGAUUUGUUGUGUCGGAUCGCAUCAUUUACUGUGAAAAAAUUAGAGUGUUCAAAGCAGGCUUUCGCUUGAAUACAUUAGCAUGGAAUAAUAAGACAGGACUUUGGUGCUAUUUUGUUGGUUGAGCCUAAAGUAAUGAUUAAUAGGGAUAGUUGGGGGCACCUGUAUUGCGUUGUCAGAGGUGAAAUUCUUGGAUUUACGCAAGACAAACAGCUGCGAAAGCGUCUGCCAAGGAUGUUUUCAUUAA
rnacentral:rRNA from 1 species